rnacentral:rRNA from 1 species
GACGAACCGUGCGAACGUUGUUCGGAUUUACUGGGCUUAAAGGGCGCGUAGGCGGCUUGCCAAGUCAGGGGUGAAAUCUUUCGGCUCAACCGGAAAACAGCUUCUGAUACUGGCGGGCUUGAGGGAGGUAGGGGCGGAUGGAACUUCCGGUGGAGCGGUGAAAUGCGUAGAUAUCGGAAGGAACGCCGGUGGCGAAAGCGAUCCGCUGGACCUCCUCUGACGCUGAGGCGCGAAAGCCAGGGGAGCAAACGGG